AUGAAUGACAACAAUCUAUGCAUUCUCAAUUGGAACGUUAUAUGCCUCAACCGUCCUGCCGGGCGAGCAAUUGUUAAGGCAACCAUUACCUCGACCCCUUGCAACAUUGUUUGUCUAUAGGAGACCAAGCUGGCCGUUGUUGAUCAAUUCACCGCGUCCUUUCUUGGUGGACAGCGGCUAAAGAGUUUCGCGGAACACCCGGCAGAUGGCACCCGGGGAGGAAUUCUCCUUCUCUGGAACGAGGAUUUGGUCAAGUUUGAUCAGGUUACUUUCGGGGCUUUCUUCCUCUCAGCCAUGGUAACCAUUGUUUUAGGUGCCUCUUUCAAGCUGACCUCAGUUUAUGGACCAACAAGAAGCAACCUGAAGGAUUCUUUCUUCUAAGAGAUGUCUAGCCAAAAGCCUCAUGCAUGUGUUAAGUGGCUGAUCACUGGAGAUUUCAACCAAAUAUACCACACACGUGACAAAAACAUAGCCAAUGUGGACCAGAGUCGCAUCGUUCGCUUUCGCAACACACUCAAUGUUUGUGAGCUGAAGGAGAUCCACUUGCGGAAUAGAAAGUUUACAUGGAGUAACGAACAGAAUAAUCCCACAAUGAGCAAGCUGGAUAGCUUUUUUUGCAAUGAGGAUUGGGACAUGCAUUUUGGCUCCCACAUACUCCACGCGUUGUCAUCUUCGCUUUCUGACCACUGCCCUCUUCUCCUUGCUUAUGACGAGGGACCCUCGAGACCAAAAUCCUUUCGGUUCAAAAAUUUGUGGACAAAGAUGCCCAACUUCAAAAAGGUGGUUGCUGAUGCUUGGAUCGAGAGGGUGAAUCAUUCUGACCCCUGCAAGAUCCUUUUCCACAAACUAAAAAAGACGAGUCAGCGGCUGCGGGGUUGGAGCAAGAAACUUUUCUCACAUCACAAAGUCCAGCUCCACAUGGCCCUAGAGGUCAUUUUGCGCCUGGACAUGGCGCAAGAGGUUCGGGCCUUGAGCAACGACGAGCGAGAUUUAAGGAAACAACUUAAGCGGAAGGUGGUGGCUUUGGCCGUGCUAGAGAGGGCUAGGAAAAAGCAAUCCUCAAGGGUAACCUUGCUUAAAGAAGGCGAUGCGAACACACGUUUUUUCCAUCUCCGCAUCAACCAUCGAUGA
rnacentral:rRNA from 1 species